rnacentral:rRNA from 1 species
AUUGAACGCUGGCGGCAUGCCUUACACAUGCAAGUCGAACGGUAACGCGGGGCAACCUGGCGACGAGUGGCGAACGGGUGAGUAAUGCAUCGGAACGUGCCUGGUAGUGGGGGAUAACUGCUAGAAAGAGCAGCUAAUACCGCAUACGACCUGAGGGUGAAAGGGGGGGAUCGCAAGACCUCCCGCUAUCAGAGCGGGCGAUGUCGGAUUAGCUAGCUGGUGGGGUAAAGGCCAACCAAGGCGACGAUCCGUAGCUGGUCUGAGAGGACGACCAGCCACACUGGGACUGAGACACGGCCCAGACUCCUACGGGAGGCAGCAGUGGGGAAUUUUGGACAAUGGACGCAAGUCUGAUCCAGCCAUGCCGCGUGCGGGAAGAAGGCCUUCGGGUUGUAAACCGCUUUUGUCAGGGAAGAAAUCUUCUGGGUUAAUACCUCGGGAGGAUGACGGUACCUGAAGAAUAAGCACCGGCUAACUACGUGCCAGCAGCCGCAGUAACAC